GCCUUCCUGGUGUAGUGUUCAGCACGCUCGACGCGUAACCGAGAGGUCCGUGGUUCGAUUCCCGGCGAAGGCG
rfam:Stegodyphus mimosarum contig52152, whole genome shotgun sequence.